AAACUGAAGAGUUUGAUCAUGGCUCAGAUUGAACGCUGGCGGCAGGCCUAACACAUGCAAGUCGAACGGUAGCACAGAGAGCUUGCUCUCGGGUGACGAGUGGCGGACGGGUGAGUAAUGUCUGGGAAACU
rnacentral:rRNA from 1 species